UCUUCAGCAGCAUCAACAGACCACUCACCCCCCCCCCCCCCCCCCAUUCAUUGGUCCCUUUCAUUCUACAAGCCCGCCCGACACGUGGCCAGCCAACCAGUACUCAGGAAGUCCUGCGAGGAAUACAAGAAGGGAACUUGGCGUGAGAUACUUGAUGUGGAAACAGAAAGCAAUCCAGCAGAAGAGGAAGACCGUAGAAUACCUUUCCCCCUGGUGUGUUUCUCUGUGGAUGAAUCAAGCAGACAUGCACCUCUCUUUCAAUCUGAUCAUUGAUUUAUAUUGAUUUAUAUUGAAUUAAUGAUAUGCAUCUGUUACAGGAGAGUCGUUCAUAUCAAACAAAUCAUUUAUCUUGUCUUUUGACGCGCAUCAAUGGUGGGUGUACUUAUUAAAGACUAUUGUUACUAUUUCUACUUCACAUAGAUAGAGUGAUAUUCAUGCCGUUUUAAACACCCUUUUACUUCAUGCAUUUCUGUGAUUAUUGUAUGCCAAUAUCUGCUCUGUACUAUUGGCAAUGGUGUUACAUUACACUAUAUCUUAGGUUCUGUUUGUCAACUCUACCUGACCUGUGACCUUACCUCAGCUCAGAACUAGCAAACGUUUCAACAAGGACUUGGACAUUUAUCUCAGCUUCUUCUGUCUUCUGGAAACAUGGAUGCACAGUGGAAUUCACGGAUCAUUAAAGUUCACAACGUUGUUCUGCAAGCAGCACCACAUCACAUUAUAUUUGUACACUUUUCCUGUGGAAUCUCAGUAUUGUGCUGUCUUCUUCUUUUUCCAAAAACCAACAUUUAUGAUCACACAAUAAACACUCACAAGACUCAAACUCUGUUUAAAUCA